rnacentral:lncRNA from 1 species
UCUAAAAACUAUUUCAUUAUUGGUGUAGAGUGAGGACAAAGUUUAUAAAUUACAAAGUGAUAAAAUCAUUUGUAAAUUGGGGAAAUAUGACUAAAAUUGGCAAAUUUGUUUACUUUAUGAUUAUAUUUCGUUUCCUAUUUUUUGUUGCAGCGAAUGAUGGGUGUAAGUUCCUUUUAUCUUUAUCAAAUUGCUUUCUUUAUUUCUUACUUAAUAUUUUAUUUCAUUUUAGUUACACUCUUCUAUUCUCUGUUUUCAUUUCAGAUUAUAAAUGUAAAUCGAAUAAUGAUUGUCCAAGAAAAAUAUGCCAGCUUGGCACUAAACCGUAUUGUAUUUACGGUCGUUGUAAAUGUUUAUCUGCAUGGUGGCCAGAAAAUUUUAGGCCGACGUGAAUUUUGUAUUUGGUUUCAGACCUAAAAGAGUACAAGAGCAAUCAUUUAGAAUAGGAUUUAAUUUAUAUGCACGGCAGUGUAAAAUUAUUUUACACAUGCAUCUAAUAAUAUACUGAUACAUCAUGUAUGGUAUUUAGAAUAUAUAAAUAUAUAUGACACGUAAUCAAGUUACAAGAUAAACCUUAUAUAAUUUAUUUGGACAGAAAAAACUUAAUAUAUAUAUCAAUAAGAAUGUAGUUGUUUAUAUAAAAAAAUGUAGUGGAAAUAUGUUUUCUUUGAUUUUAUUUUGAAAUCUUUCUUGCUGCUGAAAUUAUCAUCUCAAGAGAGCUUUCCAUGCAUGAUAUGAAUUUUUGCUUGUCAUUGAAGUCUUUCUCCAAAACCUUAAGGUGUUAGAUUUAUGCCUCUUUUACUUAUAAAGUGUUCAACAUCUACUUUUCCAUCCGAUGUGGGACUCAACUCACACUUGAAAUAUCAAUGUUUGUUGAGUUAAUAUUUCUAAAUUAUCAAGAAGUAG